rnacentral:rRNA from 1 species
UAGGGAAUAUUGGACAAUGGGGGCAACCCUGAUCCAGCCAUGCCGCGUGAGUGAAGAAGGCCCUCGGGUUGUAAAGCUCUUUUGUCCGGAAAGAAAAGCAUUCGGUGAAUACCCGGAUGUUCUGACGGUACCGGAAGAAUAAGCACCGGCUAACUUCGUGUCAGCAGCCGCGGUAAUACGAAGGGUGCAAGCGUUACUCGGAAUUACUGGGCGUAAAGCGUGCGUAGGUGGUUGUUUAAGUCUGAUGUGAAAGCCCUGGGCUCAACCUGGGAAUGGCAUUGGAAACUGGGCAGCUAGAGUGCGGUAGAGGGUAGUGGAAUUCCCAGUGUAGCAGUGAAAUGCGUAGAGAUCGGGAGGAACAUCUGUGGCGAAGGCGACUGCCUGGACCAGCACUGACACUGAGGCACGAAAGCGUGGGGAGCAAAC